rnacentral:rRNA from 1 species
UACGUAGGUGGCGAGCGUUGUCCGGAUUUACUGGGCGUAAAGGGCGUGCAGGCGGUUUGUUAAGUGCAGAGUGAAAGCUCCCGGCUCAACUGGGAGAGGUCUUUGCAUACUGGCAAACUCGAGGGAGGCAGAGGAAAGUGGAAUUCCCGGUGUAGUGGUGAUAUGCGUAGAUAUCAGGAGGAACACCUAUUGCGAAGGCAGCUCGCUGGGACGUAACUGACGCUGAGACGCGAAAGCGUGGGGAGCAAACAGG